rnacentral:rRNA from 1 species
UACGUAGGGUGCAAGCGUUAAUCGGAAUUACUGGGCGUAAAGCGUGCACAGGCGGGUUUGUAAGUCUUGCGUGAAAUCCCCGGGCUCAACCUGGGAAUUGCGAUGGAGACUGCAAGGCUAGAAUCUGGCAGAGGGGGGUAGAAUUCCACGUGUAGCAGUGAAAUGCGUAGAGAUGUGGAGGAACACCGAUGGCGAAGGCAGCCCCCUGGGUCAAGAUUGACGCUCAUGCACGAAAGCGUGGGGAGCAAACAGG